GGCGNUCAGGAAAGUCUGGAGUAAAAGGCUAUGGCUCAACCAUAGUGUGCUCUGGAAACUGUNUGACUUGAGUGCAGAAGGGGAGAGUGGAAUUCCAUGUGUAGCGGUGAAAUGCGUAGAUAUAUGGAGGAACACCAGUGGCGAAAGCGGCUCUCUGGUCUGUCACUGACGCUGAGGCUCGAAAGCGUGGGUAGCGAACAGGAUUAGAUACCCUGGUAGUNCACGCCGUAAACGAUGAGUGCUAGGUGUUAGGCCCUUUCCGGGGCUUAGUGCCGGAGCUAACGCAAUAAGCACUCCGCCUGGGGAGUACGACCGCAAGGUUGAAACUCAAAGGAAUUGACGGGGGCCCGCACAAGCGGUGGAGCAUGUGGUUUAAUUCGAAGCAACGCGAAGAACCUUACCAGGUCUUGACAUCCCGAUGCUAUUCUUAGAGAUAGGAAGUUACUUCGGUACAUCGGAGACAGGUGGUGCAUGGUUGUCGUCAGCUCGUGUCGUGAGGUGUUGGGUUAAGUCCCGCAACGAGCGCAACCCUUAUUGUUAGUUGCCAUCAUUAAGUUGGGCACUCUAGCGAGACUGCCGGUAAUAAACCGGAGGAAGGUGGGGAUGACGUCAAAUCAUCAUGCCCCUUAUGACCUGGGCUACACACGUGCUACAAUGGUCGGUACAACGAGUUGCGAGCCGGUGACGGCAAGCUAAUCUCUGAAAGCCGAUCUCAGUUCGGAUUGGAGGCUGCAACUCGCCUCCAUGAAGUCGGAAUCGCUAGUAAUCGCGGAUCAGCACGCCGCGGUGAAUACGUUCCCGGGCCUUGUACACACCGCCCGUCACACCACGAGAGUUUGUAACACCCGAAGUCGGUGAGGUAACC
rnacentral:rRNA from 1 species